GCUGGCCAUGGUGGUGCCUGCCUACAGUCCUGGCUACUCAGGAGGCUGAAGUGGGAGCAUCAGUUGCGUCCAGGAGUUCUGGGCUGUAGUGCACUGUGCCAAUCAGGUGUCCACAUUAAGUUCCGUAUCAGUAUGUGACCUCCAAGGAGUGGGGGACCACCAGCUUGCCUAAGGAGGGAUGAACAAGCCCAGGUCAGAAACCGAGCAGGUCAAAACUCCUGUGCUGAUCAGUAGUGGGUGGGAUCACACCUGUUAAUAGCCAGUGCACUCCAGCCUGGGCAACACAGUGAGACCUCAUCU
ensembl:misc_RNA Metazoa_SRP Metazoan signal recognition particle RNA